AAAACAAAACGACUUUUAGAUCCAGAAACAAAAAAGAACAGAAAGUUGUUCUUGAGUUUGGUCUCAGAUGUUGGAGCUUUUCAGGACUCCAUCCUAGAGAAGCUUCUAGAUGUUUAAAAGGCUCUGAUUUUCAUUCAUUUAGUAGACAGAAGUACUCAGAGUCCUGACAUGAAGGAUUUCUCUUUUUACCAGGUUCUCCAUCCUAAGAGAGGAACCGAUGCGAGGAUUAGAAGCAUGAAAAGCAGCUGGAGGUCCAUCUGAACAUUCUGUAGGUCAGUCUAAACGUCUGUAGGUCAGUCUAAACGUCUGUAGGUCAGUCUAAACGUCUGUAGGUCAGUCUAAACGUCUGUAGGUCAGUCUAAACGUCUGUAGGUCAGUCUAAACGUCUGUAGGUCAGUCUAAACGUCUGUAGGUCAGUCUAAACGUCUGUAGGUCAGUCUAAACGUCUGUAGGUCAGUCUAAACGUCUGUAGGUCAGUCUAAACGUCUGUAGGUCAGUCUAAACGUCUGUAGGUCAGUCUAAACGUCUGUAGGUCAGUCUAAACGUCUGUAGGUCAGUCUAAACGUCUGUAGGUCAGUCUAAACGUCUGUAGGUCAGUCUAAACGUCUGUACGUCAGUCUAAACGUCUGUAGGUCAGUCUAAACGUCUGUAGGUCAGUCUAAACGUCUGUAGGUCAGUCUAAACGUCUGUAGGUCAGUCUAAACAUUCUGUAGGUCAGUCUAAACGUCUGUAGGUCAGUCUAAACGUCUGUAGGUCAGUAAACAUUCUGUAGGUCAGUCUAAACAUUCUGUAGGUCAGUCUAACCGUCUGUAGGUCAGUCUAACCGUCUGUAGGUCAGUCUAAACAUCUGUAGGUCAGUCUAAACGUCUGUAGGUCAGUCUAAACGUCUGUAGGUCAGUCUAAACGUCUGUAGGUCAGUCUAAACAUUCUGUAGGUCAGUCUAAACGUCUGUAGGUCAGUCUAAACGUCUGUAGGUCAGUAAACAUUCUGUAGGUCAGUCUAAACAUUCUGUAGGUCAGUCUAAACGUCUGUAGGUCAGUAAACAUUCUGUAGGUCAGUCUAAACGUCUGUAGGUCAGUCUAAACGUCUGUAGGUCAGUCUAAACGUCUGUAGGUCAGUCUAAAUGUCUGUAGGUCAGUCUAAACGUCUGUAGGUCAGUCUAACGGUCUGUAGGUCA